rnacentral:rRNA from 1 species
AUGAACGCUAGCUACAGGCUUAACACAUGCAAGUCGAGGGGCAGCAUUUUAGUUUGCUUGCAAACUGAAGAUGGCGACCGGCGCACGGGUGAGUAACACGUAUCCAACCUGCCGAUAACUCCGGAAUAGCCUUUCGAAAGAAAGAUUAAUACCGGAUGGCAUACGAAUAUCGCAUGAUAUUUUUAUUAAAGAAUUUCGGUUAUCGAUGGGGAUGCGUUCCAUUAGUUUGUUGGCGGGGUAACGGCCCACCAAGACUACGAUGGAUAGGGGUUCUGAGAGGAAGGUCCCCCACAUUGGAACUGAGACACGGUCCAAACUCCUACGGGAGGCAGCAGUGAGGAAUAUUGGUCAAUGGGCGAGAGCCUGAACCAGCCAAGUAGCGUGAAGGAUGAAGGCUCUAUGGGUCGUAAACUUCUUUUAUAUGGGAAUAAAGUUUUCCACGUGUGGAAUUUUGUAUGUACCAUAUGAAUAAGGAUCGGCUAACUCCGUGCCAGCAGCCGCGGUAAUACGGAGGAUCCGAGCGUUAUCCGGAUUUAUUGGGUUUAAAGGGAGCGUAGGUGGAUUGUUAAGUCAGUUGUGAAAGUUUGCGGCUCAACCGCAAAAUUGCAGUUGAAACUGGGAGUCUUGAGUACAGUAGAGGUGGGCGGAAUUCGUGGUGUAGCGGUGAAAUGCUUAGAUAUCACGAAGAACUCCGAUUGCGAAGGCAGCUCACUAGACUGUCACUGACACUGAUGCUCGAAAGUGUGGGUAUCAAACAGGAUUAGAUACCCUGGUAGUCCACACAGUAAACGAUGAAUACUCGCUGUUUGCGAUAUACAGUAAGCGGCCAAGCGAAAGCAUUAAGUAUUCCACCUGGGGAGUACGCCGGCAACGGUGAAACUCAAAGGAAUUGACGGGGGCCCGCACAAGCGGAGGAACAUGUGGUUUAAUUCGAUGAUACGCGAGGAACCUUACCCGGGCUUAAAUUGCAACAGAAUAUAUUGGAAACAGUAUAGCCGUAAGGCUGUUGUGAAGGUGCUGCAUGGUUGUCGUCAGCUCGUGCCGUGAGGUGUCGGCUUAAGUGCCAUAACGAGCGCAACCCUUAUCUUUAGUUACUAACAGGUUAUGCUGAGGACUCUAGAGAGACUGCCGUCGUAAGAUGUGAGGAAGGUGGGGAUGACGUCAAAUCAGCACGGCCCUUACGUCCGGGGCUACACACGUGUUACAAUGGGGGGUACAGAAGGCGGCUACCUGGUGACAGGAUGCUAAUCCCAAAAACCUCUCUCAGUUCGGAUCGAAGUCUGCAACCCGACUUCGUGAAGCUGGAUUCGCUAGUAAUCGCGCAUCAGCCAUGGCGCGGUGAAUACGUUCCCGGGCCUUGUACACACCGCCCGUCAAGCCAUGAAAGCCGGGGGUACCUGAAGUACGUAACCGCAAGGAGCGUCCUAGGGUAAAACUGGUAAUUGGGGCU